AGAGCGCGGCCGGCCGUCGUGAAGGGAGGCGGUUUGAGUUGAUCUUACUAACUGCAGCUAUGGUGCAGAAGUAUCAAUCCCCCGUACGGGUGUAUAAACACCCUUUUGAGUUAAUUAUGGCCGCAUAUGAGAGAAGGUUUCCUACAUGUCCCCUGAUCCCUAUGUUUGUAGCCAGUGACACUGUAAACGAAUACAAGAGUGAGGAUGAAGCUAUCCAUGUGAUUGAACGGCGCUGUAAGCUGGAUAUAGAUGCACCACGGCUACUGAAAAAGAUUGCAGGAGUGGAUUAUGUCUACUUUGUCCAGAAGAAUUCCUUGAACAGACGAGAAAGGACUUUGCAUAUAGAAGCCUACAAUGAAACCUUCUCUAAUAGAGUCAUUAUUAAUGAACACUGCUGUUACACCGUUCAUCCUGACAAUGAAGACUGGACCUGUUUCGAACAGUCAGCAAGUCUGGAUAUAAAAUCUUUUUUUGGUUUUGAAAGCACAGUGGAAAAGAUUGCCAUGAAGCAGUACACCAGCAAUAUUAAAAAGGGAAAAGAAAUAAUAGAAUACUACCUGAAGCAGCUGGAGGAAGAAGGAAUAACUUUUGUUCCUCGUUGGACUCCUCCUGUUGCUUGUAAACUGGAGAGCAGUACAUCCCACACAAGACGACCAGUUUCACCCGCUAUUAAUAUACCAGACUCUGCCACAAAGGAGGGCUUGAACAAUAAGGAGAUCCUCAACACCUCAAGCAGCCCCUCGGAGCCCACAGCAGGAACGCCUGAUGACAAGCUAGACGCAGACUACAUCAAGCGGUAUCUGGGUGACUUGACACCAAUGCAGGAAAGCUGCCUCAUUCGACUGAGACAGUGGCUCCAGGAGACGCACAAAGGCAAAAUCCCAAAGGAUGAGCACAUUUUAAGAUUCCUGCGUGCCCGGGACUUCAACAUUGAUAAAGCAAGAGAGAUUCUUUGCCAGUCACUGACAUGGCGUAAGCAGCACCAGGUAGACUAUAUUCUAGACACCUGGAACCCUCCUCAAGUACUCCAAGAUUACUAUGCAGGAGGCUGGCAUCACCAUGACAAAGAUGGUCGCCCGCUGUAUGUGCUGAGAUUGGGACAGAUGGAUACCAAAGGCUUAGUGCGAGCUCUUGGGGAAGAGGCCUUGCUUCGAUACGUUCUUUCAAUAAAUGAAGAAGGACUGCGGCGAUGUGAGGAGAAUACAAAAGUAUUUGGCAGGCCAAUAAGCUCUUGGACCUGUCUAGUAGAUCUGGAAGGCUUGAACAUGCGGCAUCUAUGGAGACCUGGUGUGAAAGCGUUGCUAAGAAUCAUUGAGGUUGUCGAAGCUAAUUACCCUGAGACUUUGGGUCGUCUGCUUAUCCUAAGAGCACCUCGAGUAUUCCCAGUUCUUUGGACACUGGUUAGUCCAUUCAUUGACGACAACACUAGAAAGAAAUUCCUUAUUUAUGCUGGAAAUGACUACCAGGGUCCCGGGGGACUGCUGGAUUACAUCGAUAAAGAAAUUAUCCCUGACUUUCUUGGUGGAGAGUGCAUGUGUGAAGUACCAGAGGGUGGGCUGGUUCCCAAGUCCCUCUACCGGACAGCAGAAGAGUUGGAAAAUGAAGACAUAAAGCUUUGGACUGAAACAAUCUACCAGUCUGCAAGUGUCUUCAAAGGAGCUCCGCAUGAGGUUCUCAUUCAGAUUGUGGAUGCCUCAUCUGUGAUCACAUGGGAUUUUGACGUGUGCAAGGGCGACAUUGUUUUUAACAUCUUUCAUUCCAAAAGAGCCCCACAGCCUCCUAAAAAGGACUCUCUGGGAGCUCACAGUAUUACAUCUCCUGGUGGGAACAACGUCCAGUUGAUAGACAAAGUCUGGCAAUUGGGGCGCGAUUACAGUAUGGUGGAGUCUCCUCUUAUCUGCAAAGAAGGGGAGAGCGUGCAGGGAUCCCAUGUGACCAGGUGGCCUGGCUUCUAUAUUCUCCAGUGGAAAUUUCAUAGCAUGCCUGCCUGCGCUACAACCAACCUGCCUCGUGUGGAUGAUGUAUUAGCAUCUCUACAGGUCUCCUCUCACAAAUGUAAAGUGAUGUACUAUACAGAAGUAAUAGGAUCUGAAGAUUUCAGGGGAUCUAUGACCAGCCUUGAAUCAAGCCACAGUGGAUUCUCUCAGCUCAGUGCUGCCACCACCUCUUCUAGCCAGUCCCAUUCCAGCUCCAUGAUUUCCAGGUAGUGCCACAACAGAUGAAAAGCAAAUGGAUGAGAUGGCUGGACCCUCGCCUGUGGCAGCUGACUGCAAUACAGAAUAUUCAACUGGCGCAAAAAAACCCCACCCCACAAAAGCCUUUUAUAGAUAGAAAGUAGCUGUUUGAAUUUUAAACUUAGUGGUUUUGGUCCAUGUUAGAUCCAACAGCUUGUCUCUUAACUUUAACCCUUUUUCCUAACUCAGCCAUAAAUAUUUUUGCAAGUGUGCUUGCACAAAUCCUAACUCUGAACACAAGGGCUCUCAUUGAAAGGAGAAAUAACCAGUGCAUCAGUUAAGAAUAAUUUUUUUUAACUGUGUGAAUGUUAAAAAGCAAAAAAGAGAAAAACCCUACCAAAAAUGCUCCGUAGUGCAUUAGAGAUCAACUGCAAGUCUCCUGUCAGGACAUUCCUUGCCGUCUUAAGAAAUCCCCUGUGAUCUUCCAGUGCUGCAAACGGUUCUCCCAUUGCCACUAAGUGAUGUCCGAGACAAAGAAAAGCAGUUGCUGGAUACUUGACUUUAUGGCGAUUUUGCUGACAACUGUAAAGAAACUGCUUCAUUCAACACUCCACAUCUGUCCAGAGGUGUCUGGCUUUGUAGACCUUUUUGAGUUGCAGUCACUUUUCAAGUCUGAAGAUCUAUAUUUUGUUUUUCACUUGAGCUGGCUCAAAAGUGGCACUUUGGGUUUUUCCUGCUCUUAAUCUUAACACAUCUUUUAGAGCUCAAAGCACAUGACAGCACAAACAGCUGGGGAGAUAAAAUUCCAGAAAAACAAUAGUUAAUCUUCCUCUAAGCAAAGUGCUGUGGCAAUAUGACUUGAUCACUGCAGUCUGACUAAUUAAUUUCCCAUACCCUGGUCUUUCUUUGUGUGAUAUUACUGCUCUUCUUCCUUCUCUCAGCCAAUGACUCUUCUGUUGGCUUUUUUUCCUGUUAUCAGUGUCCUUCUGCACUUUCCUGUCUGUACUCAUCAACUGCAUAUCAAAUUCUGUAAAUGUUUUGUAUACAUAAUACCUCAUUCUUGGUAAUAAAAUACAGAUAGUCUUUAAAAGAUUUUUUUAUCGUUAUCAAUAAAUGUGAACUGUUUGG